UGGGGAAUAUUGGACAAUGGGCGAAAGCCUGAUCCAGCCAUGCCGCGUGUGUGAAGAAGGCCUUUUGGUUGUAAAGCACUUUAAGUGGGGAGGAAAAGCUUAUGGUUAAUACCCAUAAGCCCUGACGUUACCCACAGAAUAAGCACCGGCUAACUCUGUGCCAGCAGCCGCGGUAAUACAGAGGGUGCAAGCGUUAAUCGGAAUUACUGGGCGUAAAGCGCGCGUAGGUGGUUAUUUAAGUCAGAUGUGAAAGCCCCGGGCUUAACCUGGGAACUGCAUCUGAUACUGGAUAACUAGAGUAGGUGAGAGGGGAGUAGAAUUCCAGGUGUAGCGGUGAAAUGCGUAGAGAUCUGGAGGAAUACCGAUGGCGAAGGCAGCUCCCUGGCAUCAUACUGACACUGAGGUGCGAAAGCGUGGGUAGCAAACAGGAUUAGAUACCCUGGUAGUCCACGCCGUAAACGAUGUCUACCAGUCGUUGGGUCUUUUAAAGACUUAGUGACGCAGGUAACGCAAUAAGUAGACCGCCUGGGGAGUACGGCCGCAAGGUUA
rnacentral:rRNA from 1 species